CGUGAGGGAAAGGUGAAAAGAACCCCGGGAGGGGAGUGAAAGAGAACCUGAAACCAUAUGCCUACAAGAAGUCAGAGCCCGUUAAAGGGUGAUGGCGUGCCUUUUGUAGAAUGAACCGGCGAGUUACUGUAUGGAGCGAGGUUAAGCAGGAUAUGCGGAGCCGAAGCGAAAGCGAGUCUUAAGAGGGCGAGAGUUGCAUGCAGUAGACCCGAAACCGGGUGAUCUAGCCAUGACCAGGUUGAAGUUGGGGUAAAACCCGAUGGAGGACCGAACCGACCCCCGUUGAAACGUUGGCGGAUGAGUUGUGGCUAGGGGUGAAAUUCCAAUCGAACCCGGAGAUAGCUGGUUCUCCCCGAAAUAGCUUUAGGGCUAGCGUCGAGGUAAGUUGCGUGAAGGUAGAGCACUGAAUAUGUGAUGGCCCCAUCUCGGGGUACUGAGCAUAAUCAAACUGCGAAUGUCACGCCAACAUGCUCGGCAGUCAGACAGCGGGUGAUAAGGUCCGUUGUCAAGAGGGAAACAGCCCAGACCAUCAGCUAAGGUCCCAAAAUGUAUGCUAAGUGGAAAAGGAUGUGGAGAUGUACAGACAACUAGGAGGUUGGCUCAGAAGCAGCCAUCCUUUAAAGAGUGCGUAACAGCUCACUAGUCGAAUGACUCUGCGCCGAUAAUUUACCGGGGCUAAGCAUACUACCGAAGCUAUGGAUCCCAAGGGAUGGUAGGGGAGCGUUCCAUGAACGGAGAAGUACGACCGAAAGGACGUGUGGAGAUCAUGGAAGAGAGAAUGCCGGUGUGAGUAGCGGAACGUGGGUGAGAAUCCCACGCACCGAAAACCCAAGGUUUCCAGAGGAAGGUUCGUCCGCUCUGGGUAAGUCGGGACCUAAGGCGAGGCCGAAAGGCGUAGUCGAUGGACAACAGGUAGAGAUUCCUGUACCCGUAUAUAUGUGAAGGAAUGACGGAGAGAGGAAGCUGCAGCCAGCGGCUGGAAGAGCUGGUGCAAGCGAGAUAUCGGGAUGGCAGGCAAAUCCACCAUCCGAAACGAGAAGGCGUGAAGCGUACGGAAAGCUACGGCGAGUACGGAAGGCAGUGGAGGAACUUCCAAGAAAAGUUUCUAACGUUAAGUAUAUAUGGCCCGUACCGAAAAUGGACACACAUGGGUGAGGAGAGAAUCCUAAGGUGAGCGAGAGAACUAUAGCUAAGGAACUCUGCAAAAUGACUCCGUAACUUAGGGAGAAGGAGUGCUCAUAGAGAUAUGAGCCGCAGUGAAACGGCCCAAGCGACUGUUUACCAAAAACACAGCUCUCUGCUAAGCCGCAAGGCGAAGUAUAGGGGGUGACGCCUGCCCGGUGCUGGAAGGUUAAGGGGAGGGGUUAACGCAAGUGAAGCCCUGAACUGAAGCCCCAGUAAACGGCGGCCGUAACUAUAACGGUCCUAAGGUAGCGAAAUUCCUUGUCAGGUAAGUUCUGACCCGCACGAAAGGCGUAACGAUUUGGGCGCUGUCUCAGCUGUAGACUCGGUGAAGUCUUAGUACCUGUGAAGAUGCAGGUUACCCGCGACUAGACGGAAAGACCCCAUGGAGCUUCACUGCAGGUUGAUAUUGGGAUUUGAUGCAGCAUGUACAGGAUAGGUAGGAGGCAAAGAGAUGGAUACGCCAGUAUUCAAGGAGCCGCUGUUGGGAUACUACCCCUGUUGUAUUGGAUUUCUAACCGGACGACGUAGAGCCGUUGACGGGACAGUGUCAGUCGGGCAGUUUGACUGGGGCGGUCGCCUCCCAAAGAGUAACGGAGGCGCCCAAAGAUACCCUCAGCUUGGAUGGAAACCAAGCGCAGAGUGCAAAGGCAAAAGGGUGUUUGACUGCGAGACCCACAAGUCGAGCAGGGACGAAAGUCGGGCUUAGUGAUCCGGCGGUGCUGAAUGGAAAGGCCGUCGCUCAACGGAUAAAAGCUACCCUGGGGAUAACAGGCUGAUCUCCCCCA
rnacentral:rRNA from 1 species